rnacentral:rRNA from 1 species
ACUCCUACGGGAGGCAGCAGUAAGGAAUAUUGGACAAUGGGCGAAAGCCUGAUCCAGCCAUCCCGCGUGCAGGAUGACGGCCCUAUGGGUUGUAAACUGCUUUUGUUUGAGAAGAAACGCCUGGAUUUAUCCGGGCCUGACGGUAUCUUACGAAUAAGCACCGGCUAACUCCGUGCCAGCAGCCGCGGUAAUACGGAGGGUGCAAGCGUUAUCCGGAAUCACUGGGUUUAAAGGGUGAGCAGGCGGAUAAAUAAGUCAGAGGUGAAAUCUUGCAGCUUAACUGUAAAACUGCCUUUGAUACUGUUUAUCUUGAAUUAGGUUGAGGUCAGCGGAAUGUGACAUGUAGCGGUGAAAUGCGGAGAUAUGUCAUAGAACACCAAUUGCGAAGGCAGCUGACUGGGCCUUAAUUGACGCUGAGUCACGAAAGCGUGGGAGCGAACAGGAUUAGAUA